CAAAUUGGCGCCCGAACAGGGACAAGUCUGAACAGGAUUUGGACACUGCUGGCAGUGAUCCAGGGCCACGGUUGGACGGAAUAAAGGAGAAGCCGGUCCUGCAACGCAGCCCAGGAGGUGGAAGGGACAAGAAUCCCCGCACCCGCGCCGGGAAGGUGAAAAGGACGUGGAGGUCCCCGCACCCGGGAUGAGCCUAUUUAGGGUCCCGCCGGAAAAGCGCCGCCGAGGUCUUUGCAAAGGCUGCAAUCGACGUAUAUAAAGGGCCAACCUGGGUGCCUAGUCGGUGUGUUAAACCAGCCAUUGAAGAAAAGUCAUCAAGUACGAAUAACAGCAACCAUGGCUGAUCUAACGGCACAAGGGAUUUUGGUUGCAUUAUCUUUGACAAUGACGGCUGGCUGCGUCUGAUCCUUUGUUGAUGAGUUGAUUAUGUUUGAAAUGGUUAAGGGAUCAUACGCAAAAAAUUGUAGUACAAGAUAGUUGGUUUGAAGGUUGGUUUAAAUCUGUUUUUGGGAACAUGGGUGGAUGGUUUUUUCUUCGUCAAAGAGGAACUUCGUUUUCUACUUAUAGUUAUAUUGAUUAUAGUUGCUGCAAAAUAAAAACGGGGGAAUUGUG